CACACCCUCAUCUUCCAGCAGUGAGGGUAGACUAUUAAGGCUCUCAUGUCAUCAAGGAUCAAGGCAAUGGAUUAAUGGAGACUCUAGACAUUUGUUUCCUCACCAGUGAAAAUUAAAUGAAGACCCAGGAAUCACUACAGCUAUGGGGAUGAGAAGGACAUUUCAGCAGCUAGAGUGUGGUGAAAUGGCCCAAGGAGAAGAGUACAAAGCAACAUAAUGGCAGAGAUGAUGUUCAGAUCUCCAGAUAUUGUGUCCCUGUCUCAGAGUCGCCAACAGAACUUAAUUUUUCAUUUCCUUUUGACAAGUGAUGAGCUUGGCAUUAUUUACUCAGGAGAAAAAAGUAUAGGAAACUAAAGAAAAUACUGAAGAUAAUCUCAAAUGGUGACAAUCUUUUUCAAUCUCAUCUACACUUCAAUUUUGGAAUAGUCUAUAAUAUUUGAGAAUUAACAGAAAUAUUGCAAGAUAAAAGCUAGCAACUGUUAUGUAAAAGUAUCCAUUUUCCAUGGAUUCCCGCUAAAAGACUAACAGUUACUAAAUCAUCCCCACAAGCCAACUGCUUUUAAAAAGACCU
rnacentral:sRNA from 1 species